rnacentral:rRNA from 1 species
GACGAACGCUGGCGGCGUGCUUAACACAUGCAAGUCGAGCGGGAUCCAACCGGUGGCAACACCGGGGAAGAUCUAGCGGCGAACGGGUGAGUAACACGUGAGCAACCUGCCCCGAAGACUGGGAUAACACCGGGAACCGGUGCUAAUACCGGAUGUCGUCAUUAGGCCGCAUGACCUGAUGAUGAAAGGAUUCAUCGCUUCGGGAGGGGCUCGCGGGCUAUCAGCUUGNGGUGGGUAACGGCCUACCAAGGCGACGACGGCUAGCUGGUCUGAGAGGACGACCAGCCACACUGGGACU